GACGAACGCUGGCGGCGUGCUUAACACAUGCAAGUCGAACGGAAAGGCCUCUUUCGGGGGGUACUCGAGUGGCGAACGGGUGAGUAACACGUGAGUAACCUGCCCUUGACUUUGGGAUAACUUCAGGAAACUGGGGCUAAUACCGGAUAGGAGCUCCUGCUGCAUGGUGGGGGUUGGAAAGUUUCGGCGGUUGGGGAUGUACUCGCGGCUUAUCAGCUUGUUGGUGGGGUAGUGGCUUACCAAGGCUUUGACGGGUAGCCGGCCUGAGAGGGUGACCGGCCACAUUGGGACUGAGAUACGGCCCAGACUCCUACGGGAGGCAGAAGUGGGGAAUAUUGCACAAUGGGUGGAAGCCUGAUGCAGCAACGCCGUGUGCGGGAUGACGGCCUUCGGGUUGUAAACCGCUUUCGCUCAUGACGAAGCUUUGUGUGACGGUAGUGGGUAAAGAAGCACCGGCUAACUACGUG
rnacentral:rRNA from 1 species